GGCUGGCCAAAGAAAACUACAACUCCCGGCAGCCUCCAGAAUGCCAUCUCCAGUUUGCGAGGCAGUACGGGACUUGAAGGCUUGGGCCCUCGCGAUUGCUGUAGCCUGGGCUGACUCUUCUCGCCCGGUUACUGCCACCUGGUUCUAAAUCAGCACGUCCCCAAAGUGCCUGAGUAUAAGAAGUGUCUGCCAGGCUGAUUGAAAGUGUAGAAUAACAGGUGAAGAAACUGAGGCACAGAGUUAGUUUAUUGCCCUAAUCACAAAGCUACAGGUGGAAGAGGAGGGUUUGAACUCAGAUUUCCUGAAUCCAAAUCUUGGUGAUGUUUAACCUAAGGUGUACUACAUCCUGAGAGCUAGCUGUCCUCAUACUCUAGAGUGGUAGAAGCCUCCCCGCUUAUCUCGGUCUCCUGCUGCCUCAUGCUGCUGCUUGAGUAGUGUGUACAGCUCCAUCAAGUGUUUCACAGUCAUGAACUGAUGCAGAGUUUACCGCUGCCCACCAGAGUCGGAGCCAUGCCUGACCAGGGCUCAGAGAAGGUGCCCACUUCUUCUCCCUGGAGGCAGCCAGUACUGUUAGUUGCCUGUAUAUUCCUCCAGAGAUGUUUUGUGCACAUAAAGAGAAAUCUCAUUGACCUAAGAUGGUUGGAGAAGGCCUUUCUGGAGAAUGAACAUUUUUGAUCAGAGUGGAGCAGAGAACAAGAUCCAGUUGGCUUGGCCAAACAUGGCACCAGGGAGCCGUGGAAGCCUCCUCAGCUGGGGAGUGAUGUUUCUGCGUCAUCAAACAUUUAUGACAAGACGGAGCAACACAGAGUGACUUGGAAUGAAUUCAACAGACCAAUAUUUUGAAAUCAGGGUGGCUUGACUUCCUUUAGAGAGAACAGUUCUCCCAUCUCUUCGAGGCAUCAUCCAGAGGAGGAAGAACAGCAAGGUUCCCAGUCCCAGAGAGCACAACUCUGGUCACACGUUCCAACUCACCGACCAUGAAGUAGCUUAACAGUCUUCUUCGAAUAAGUGAGAAGGAAGCUCCAUGUACCGAAGAGAGAGCCCUCCAGACCUGUGGUCAGACCUCGUUUCUCCUAUGACCUUAGGUCUGCCUGCUCUCCUGCUGAAGGGGAAAGCUCAUGUUGGCAAUGGCCAAGAAUUCCUCCAAAGAUUGAAAUUGCAGCUAGACCAGGAAAGUGAUCUGGCCGUAGGCGGAGUCCCCGCAGUAAAAGUGUUUCUGUAGCUGGGAGUUCACAGCUGCCGUAAAACCUAAAUGUCAGCAACUCCCGUGGUGUUGGAUCACGUGCUACCCCGCUUACAGCCAGCAGCCCUGACAUCGGGGCCAAGCAUCUCAGACACCAAGGCUCUACUGAGGAAGAAGUCAGCUGACCCAGGAUAAACCAAUCAGAAUCUCCCUAGAAGACACCCUCACACACAAGGGCAAGUUUUGUUUAGUUUCUUUCUUCCUUCCUUUUUUCUUUUUUACUAUUUUGUGCACUCCUAAAUCCCAAGUGCCUAAGAUAAUGCCAGGCAUGUAGUAGGUGCUCAUUUUAUAUUGAACUUUAUCUUUCUCUGCAUUUGGAAUCAAGACUAGGCAACUGGUCUCUGCAAGACUGGCGCUGAGAGACCCCUAACCCGGAAGCUAAGGCAGCCAGGAUCUGCCCCAAGGAUUGAGGACUGAACUGGGGGGAAAGGAGGAGGAGUAAGAAGCAGAAAGGAGACGGGUGGAGGCAGAGAGAGGCAAAACAGGUCUCCAGAAUACACCCCUGUGUCCUUAUGAAAAUAUUCCACCCUCCUUUCUCCUUGAGCUUGCUUGAGUGGGUCUUGAUAUUUAAAACCAAGUCAAUCUAACCAAAACAGCAUGUCUCCUUGAAGUCCUUCCCCAGAGGGAACGGUGCAAAUUCCUGUGAACUCUUGAAGUAUUUUUAGCAGCAUAUGCUUGGAUAACUUUAGUCCUUGUCUGAUCUGUGCACUGAGGGAGGUAGGAAGGUGGGAUGGCACUCUGGAGCCUGACUGCCUGGCUCCCAAUCCUUGCUCCUGCCCAUCCAUCCUGCCACCUGGGUCAGGUGAGCUAACUUUUCCGAAACCUCAGUUUCUUCCUCUGCAAAAUGGAGGUGAUAAUGGCCACUACCUCCCUGUGUUAUUUUGAAAAUAUAAAGUGCUUUGCACGGUACUUAGCACAUGGUUAGCACUAAAUAAGUAAAAAUAAUGUAUCCAAUACACUGAACAAGCAGGAGUCUUAUAAAAGCAAUUUGAUUUUUGUCUCCUGUUUCACUUUAAACCUGUGCAUGGUCCGCAAUCUCUUCCUCCCCGAAGAAUGAGAUUCUGAGCAGCCCCAGAAGUUUUCUGAUCAGUGUUAGGUAGUAAAAGCUCCUGGGGUCGCUUUAAGUCAGAGACCGCUGCCUCAGUUCAUCACUUAUUUCUGCUCCCCUCUUUCCACGAGGGCCUCCUUCCGGCAGAAUCCUGGGGGGUUGGUGUAUCUGCUCCUCCACUAUCUUGCUAACCUAUUUUCUGGUUGCCUCAAAGGUUACAUGGGAAUCGAGAAGGAAAGGAGGGGACAGGAAAGUCCUCAAUUGUUUGGCACUGUCAAAGCCUGACUUUGCCCGCUCUGAGUCUGACAGAUACUUGAAGCUGACAGUUCUGCACCCAGAUUUUCUGGAGAUGCCUCUGCUGGACCAUCUAUGAUAACAAAUUCAGGCUUUCCCUUUGGCCAGUCUGCACCCCACCCGCUCCAACUGGCCUCUCCCUUUGGGACAGGAUCCCUUUCAUAAUGACCCCAGACUGACAUUUUUAUUGCUGUACUGAAUGUAACAGCUCCCCAGCCCACCCCCAACACCUGGCCCCCAUUUCCCCUACCUCUGACCUGCCAUCAUAGGGCCGUGUCCCUUCUCUGCUGCCACCAGCCACUGCCGCUUCCUUGAGCACAAGUCAGACCUAGGCCCACCGCAUCCUCCAGCUGCAGGGUACACAAAACAAGCUCUCUGAGAGUCCCAGGGGACAAGGGCUGAGGGUGAAAGCACAAAUGCCUUCUCCAAAGAAGGCCUCCCAAAAUCUUCCCCAGAGGUCAAUAACGUACCCCAUUUCUACUUUCCAAAGUGGUGAAGAGCUUUGAGAAGGGUUCGAUUGGUGUUUGGAAUUUUCUUUUGUAAAUUCUGCUCUUGGCUGGCCUUGCCCCUGCUGUGGAAUGCAGCAGCUGUCAGACUUUAGCGCCUCCGCUAGAACUUGGGUUUGAACCUCCUGUUAAUAAUAAAGCGACAUGUACGGCUGACCUUUACGUUCACAAAAUGUGAUCAGAUGCAUUAUCUCACCCAUUCCUUACAGCACCUCUGCCACACUGGCUAUUCUGCUCUCCCUGUUUUCCUGAUGAGGAAACUGAGGUCACAGAGAGGUCAAAAAGCUUGAGAUUGAGACCCAGUUGGCGCUGCCUACCUGACUCCUUUCCACUGCAGCACACAGCAUAUCAGGGCUCAGUGCUGCCUGGCUGUGGGCCUUCCAUGGCCCCAGGACACUCGGGACCCAAGGGAUGUCCUAAGAGCCUGCCUGGAAAGGCAGUGGCCUUCUGAAUCCAGAGCUAAAACACAGAUGGGAGACCUCCUUGAAGGAGAUCAAGGCAGGCAGCCCUGUGACUGGCAGCUGGGUUCAGAGAAGCAGCCAAAGAAAAGCCUUGCUUCCUUUGCACAUAAAGCCUCCAUUCUCAGCCAUCACACUGGCACAGACACUCACAGACCAGAGCCUCAAAGGACCAGACAAUGAAACAGACACAGGCAAGAGCAAGAGGUUUUUUUUUUUUUUCCUUUUCCAAAUGCAAAACUUAGAUAUUACUCAACACUCAUAUACAAUUUGCAUAUGAGCUGACAUUUUUAUAGGAAAGGCAGAGAUUUCUUAUGCUAGAGUUGCGGGGCAGAUGGCUGGGGGAGGUGUCUAUAAAGACAGCUUUAUAGCCUGUGGCCACUUCCUCAUGGUGAUCAGCGCAUGGGCCAAAAAUACACCAGGUCCCUUUCCCCCUAUGUUUCUUGUCUUCUACCCAUUGUCCUCCUCCUCCCCCUCUCUCUCUAUUAUUGAGCAUUUCUAGUGGUCAGCGCUGAGCUAGCUGCAGGGAUGCGUGACAUGCAAACUUGCCCUCCAGGGGCUCCCAGUCAAGGAGAGGAGACAGGAGAAGAAAAACUAGUGAUGAAAAUGCAGGAUGAUAAAAUAAAGAUGGAGAUGCAUGCAGGGCGCUGCGGUACCCGGAGCGGGGGAAGGGAAGGUGGGCUGGAGGAAGGGCGGAUUUUCAAGGUAUUUUCAUGACCGGUACUGAUGGACCAGGCAUGAUAGUUGCCUAACCCAUCAGAAUAGAUUGCAACCUUUACACAGAAUGGGAAAAUUUUCAACUCGUGGUGGACUAAAAGCUUCACAGAGGAGAUGCCUGAGAGGAGUUGUGAGGGCUUGGUCAUUAGGCAAACAAACUUCAAGAGCUGGGACAGACGAGGGAGUCAGGGGAACUAUUGAGACCUCUUUAUCUCUGGUCCCUUAGAGUCCCAGAGAGGUCAGGAGGUGUUUGUUGAAUGAAUGAAUGAAUGCAUGAACGAAUGAAGUGGAGGCAGUGUGAGGGGAAGCCAUAGAGGACGAGACUGAAAAGCAGCAAUAAGGCAAUAAUGGAGCUGCCAUUGAUUGCAGUCUACUGCUUUCCCUCCUGCCUGUCACAGGGAGAUGAAUUGCCAAGAUUGGAGGGACGAAGAUAUAUAUAAAACCCCUAGAACAGUCCCUGGCACAUAGUAAGUGUUAUAUCAGUGUUUGUUAUUAUUAUCCCAAAGCUAGAGAUAAACACGUUUGAAACUCAGAGAAAUAAGAUAACGAUUUGGACAGCCAGCCCGGUCUGACACCAAAUCCCAUUCUCUGAGCCCAUACCCUUCAGGGAAGUAGGACUGUUUCACUUAAGUGAGUCGCACUAUACAUUUUUGGGGAGGAAAAAAACCGCCACACUUGAACAGUGGCCUGUUCGCUGGAGUAACUGUGGGGCAGAAGCCUAAAGUACAGCUCCCCUCACUUGUCUGUGUUCCUGCAGGCCUCUCAUGGCCAAAGCAUCUCAGUGUGAUUUCCACACAAGGUUCCUAAAGGCAAACCUCUACUCCAUUUGGGGCUCAAUCGAAGAAACUGUGAUCUGGUCCAGUAAUGAAAGCUACACCAUCUUCCUCUACCACACACAUCCAGUGGGCAAGUGAAAGCAUCUGCAAAGGGUGUUUUUCACAAUACACAUUGCAGUACAAGCCAUAGACUAUUGCAGGGUGCAAUUGUGCUGUGUACAGCCUCCAGGGUGAGGAAUGGUGAGCUGGUCUUUGGUUAAAGGCCCUUGGCUUGGCAGUCAUCCUCACGCUCUCUUUGUCCUUGGAGUGUCUGGAACUUUCUGAUUGUCAGUGGUCAGAGCACCCAGAUUUGGUCUGAAACCCAAUAUUGGUUUUCUCAUCUGUGGGAACGCAAUGAAAAUCUAAUGGACCCCACUCUUACGGUCUUAUGGAUGCUACCUCCCAGUUCUUCACUGCUGGUCUUUCUGUAAUUUGGACACCAGAAGUGAAGGCUCCAUAAUAGAGCUGGAAGGUUCUCUCCAGGACAAGAAGGAGCUUUGGAGCCGGGACCAUUUCUUUUGACAAUCUGAACAUCAACAUUCAAUGGAGUAUAACAGCCAUCAUUGCCUGGAUCCAUAUUUCUAAAGUGCUCCAGCCUUUCAGGCACCAAAUAACAUCCAAAUUGUACCCAAUACAGCCAGAAAAAAAAAAAAAAAAAUCAGGCUUCCUCGUCAUUUGUUUGCCAUGAACACAUCUUAUGAAUAGUUUUCUUUAAAAGACGAAUGUGCCGAGGACUUGGGAAAAAUGUAUUUGUGUGUGCAUUUGGUAAGUCUCCAACACCAAAACACAUUCUGGGACUAAUUAUUUUUUAACUAACUAAUCAGUAUGUUUCAUUCAUAAAUUGGGAUUUAUCAGUAUAGCACAUGAAAAGAGAGAACGUAUUAUUAUCUUAAUUUGGUUAAUAUGCAAAAUCGCGCUGUGUUUGUAAUGACCUGCUUUCAGUGAAUAGAGGCAGGCUGGAAAUAGUAGCAGCUUCCCCUAAUGAGGGUGCUGGCUCCCAGCCCCAGCUGUUCACCAGGAGACACUCGAUGUGCUCCUGACCUAUCCGCACACGUGUUCCUCUGGUGAAGAGGCAGGAGUGAUUUCCUCACCAGGGGAAAAACUGAACGCCUUGUGUUUGUUCUGCUGACAGAACCCGUUUUACCCGCUUUGUCAGUGGGCAGCAAAAGCCUGGGGCGUGGGGGGUGGAGGACGGUGGGAAGGAGUGUUCGCUUUGUUGGCUCUAAGACACAAUCUCACGCGCGCGCGCGCGCACACACACACACACACACGCGUGCACACACCCUCCGAACCUGUCAAGAGUAGGGCUCAAAUCUAUUAAUAAAAGAUUCCACCUUAAUCUAGUGAUUCUGGUCUUUCUCACCCUAUUGUGCCUGCCAACCCGUGUGCAGCUGGUCUGCCAUGCAAAUAAACCCUCCAUUCUGAAGUCCCCCGAUAAAGGGAUUUAUUUAUCAGCCCGACCUGAGUAUCCAUUUGUUCCUGCAAAUGAGCGGCUCCUCCCUGCUCUUAUGCACCCUGAUUUAGAGCCAUGGAGGCAGGUUCCCCUGGUUUAUCAGGAGUCUGGAUCAUCUCCCCACCCCCUCCAAACCCCAGGUCAGGCUUUGAACCCCUCUGGGCUGUGGAACUGCCCUGGCCUCACCCAGGAGUGCAGCGAGGGGAGGGGUGGGGGCCAGAGUCGAGCUGGCCUUCCCGUGACACUCUGGAGCAGGGUCCAGCUGCAUUCUUUCUGUCCAGCCCUGGUGCCAGCCUGCCGAGGACUCCGCCCGGGGACAUCCUGAUGUGGCACAUUCUCGAGCCAGGCGCUGCUUUUGUGUUUUAAAGGAGGGCAUUUCCUCUUCUGGUUUUUUGGGGGUUCGUUUUUUCUGUUUGUUGUGAAAAGUUUCAGUCUAGGAGCUAUGUUUUAAUGAUUUUUAUAAUUGAAGUAUAGCUAAUUUGUGUUAGUUUCAAGUGUAUAGCAAAGUGAUUCAGUUAUAGUUCCAUACGUAUAUAUGUAUUAUACACAUACAUAUAUAUAUAUUCUCUUUCAGAUUCUUUUCCAUCAUAGGUUAUUUCAAGAAUGGAGUAUAGUUCCCUGUGCUAUACAGUAGGUCCUUGUUAUUUUACAUAUAGUAGUGUGUAUAUGUUAAUCCCAAACUGCUAAUUUGUCCUUUCCCCCCAAGCUAUUUUUAAAUUACAAGAGAAUUAUACAUGUUCAUUGUAGAAAAUUUAGGAAAAGCAGAAAAUUCUCCAUUAAAAAAUCUAAAUCCCACGGCCAAGAGACAACCAGCACGUACACUCCCAUGUCCUUUGUGCCCGGUCCCCUCAGCCCGUGAAAGAGUGAAUAGUCUGGGCUUCCUCUAUUUGUGAAGCAAAUACUAAAUCAGAAUGGGAAAAAAAAAAAAAAAAACUGUGUUGUAUUUUAAAUAUUUACAUGCAGCAAUCAGUCACAUGACAUUAGCAAGACUAUCUGUGACUGUGUGUGACUAUUCAGAGUAUCCCUAUGAUUAACUACAUUUAGAAACCAUGUCAAAAAUCUAAAUUUGAGACCUUAGGCGACCAUGAGGCCCAGUCAGAUCGCUCUCCUGGGUCCCCUACCCCACCUCCAUGGAUCUUGUGUAUGUGUAUUUGUGUUUAUAUCAUAUUUGAAAUCACUCUAUUUUCACAUUUUUAUAUUAAUAUUACUUUGCUCACAUUUUUACAAGUCAAUAAAAUUCUUCUGCAACAAGGUUUUGAUGGCUACUCAGCAUUCCAUUAUGUAAACUUACCAUUUAAGCUUUCUCCUGUUAGUGUACAUUUCAGAUAAUCCCCUUUUUUUUCCCACUAUGAUAAAUAAUACUGCAUUGAACAUCCUUAUAUGAAAAUCAUUGUGACUCUCUGGGUUCUUUCCUUUGGAUGAAUUCCUAAAAGGAAAAUCACUGGGUCAGAGGGUAGGAACAUUUUAGUGUCUUCUUUCAUGUUGCUCAAUUUGAUUCUAAAUAAGGGCUACUGAUUUACUCUGAAAGAGCAUGUUUACCGUUUUACCGUUUUUAUGUAUGUACCAACAAACUUUUUGGCCAUACCAGCAGCAUGCAGAAGUUUCUGGGCCAGGGAUCAACCUGGUGCCACAGCAGGAACCAGAGUACAGCAGUGACAACUCCAGAGCCACCAGGAAACGCCCACAUUAACCUUUAAUUGGAGAAGUAAUUCACAGAAUACAUGCUCCCUGUAAAAGAUUUUAAAAGGUAAGCCCUAUAUCUCUUUUCACCACCUCUUCCAGUCUCCGAACCCCUCAGAGGCAGCCAGUUUUCAGUUCAGCAAAAGCUCUCAAUCAGUGCAUUUAAUUAGUUAUCCGUGUGCCUCUAUAAAAUGUGUAUCUGUGACCUAAGGAAAACUUGCAUAUUUCUGUACCUAUAGAAAAUGUGGAGGUUUUGUGUGGAUUUUUUUUUUUUACAUGAGUGAUAUCAUAUGGUACAUGUCUUAAUGUGAUUUUUUUCCCACAGCUGUCUGUCUCAUAGCCUUUAUUGUGUAUAUAUAAAUCUACCUUACUCUUCCAAAUGUUCCAUACAUUUCCAUGGGAUAGAUUUGGCCUAGUUUUGACUGCCAUUCUUCUAUGUACAAAUAUUUGGGUUGAUUUUUUGAUUUUUUAUUUCAUUUUUACAAAAAGUGCCAUGGUGCACAUUCUUUUACAGAAGCAAGUGUCUGAACAGAUUUUUUUUUUCCUCUAUAGAAGAAAUCAAGAAAUAGAAUUUCUGGGUCAUGGGACAUACACUGUUUUUAUUUUAAUGGAUAUUGCCAAAUUGCUGAGGUCAUUUUGAGUUUACUUUUAUCUUCUAGAUAAAAUCUCCUAGAAUCUUCUAGAAUGCCUUAGAUUGGAGCUUAAUUAUCAAAAUGUAAUUCUGAAGUAUUCUAUCAGGUAAGAUGGCAGGAAUGUGUAUUCAUUCCUUAGCCCAUCCGUCUCUGUCUUCUGAGGAUCCAGCAUGGCUCCUGAUAUGGUGUCGAGUCAAUAAAUGUUGCUUAGGUGGUCUCCUUUGCACCAGCCACACCCUCAAGGGGCCUCAGCCCGAAACCUGAUUCCUUUAUGCAGCUGCCAACCACCAGCUCAGCUUUCCAGACAGUGCUCAAAUAUCCCCUCUUUUUGGAAGCCCUCCCUGGAGUCCAGGCUGAGUAAGGCAGCUUCUCUUCUGUGUCCCCAUGGCACCCUUAUUUAUUGGCUUGUCAUGCUUAUUGCAAUUUGGAAUUUGGUCACCUCUCCCCUGUUACACCAGGCAGUCUCGGGAAUUCAGUGGUGCCUGGCCUUUAGGCAUCACCUGAUCAGUGUUUGUGGACUGCUGACAGAACAACAAGCAUGUAGGCCUGGCAGUCUGUCAGCUUGGAGAGAGAGAGGGCCAGGUGUAUGCAGUAUUCUUCAUAUCGAGCUUAAUAGGAAACGGCUGUAAGAAAUUAGAUGGCUAGGGUGGCUCAGUGGUAACAAACCCAGGUUCAAUCCCUGGCCCAGUUCAGUGGGUUAAGGAUCCCACAUUGCCGUGAGCUGUGGUAUGGAUCACAGAUGUGGCUUGGAUCCAGGGUUGCUGUGGCUGUGGCGUAGGCCAGCAGCAACAGCUCUGAUUCAACCCCUAGCCUGGGAACUUCCAUAUGCCACAACUGCAGCCCUAAAAAGCAAAAGAAAGAAGAAAAAAAAAUUAGGUGGCUAAUAAUUGACCCUUGACAGUGAUUAUGAUGCUGAUAAAAAUGAUGAAUGAUUGGUAAGAAGGGUAAAUAGUAAACUCUCUCACACAUAAAAAUUUAGAACCACAUCAUUUCACCUCUUGGGAAAAUGUUUAUAACACUCUUCACUUCAAUAUUUCGCCAUGAAACCUAGAAGUUUCUUAGGCAAUUUAUCUUUUCAAAUGCAUCUCAGGGAAUGACAAACAGUAGCCAGAAAGCUGCUCAAAGAGUUCGAGUAUGGCAGCUCAUGGUCAUAAAUCUCUGGGUAGGAUCCUGAUUCUGAAAAGAAACACGAGAAAAGACUGAAAUAAAUCUACCAAGGUGUUAAUCAUGGCAGCACCACUGGAGUUAGGGUGAUGUGUGAUAUUCUUUUCUUCUUUUUACUUUUCUCAAAUCUUUCAGAUUAUACCAUGUAUGUAAAUUCAUUUUACACACACAAAAAAACAAACCAAAACCGAAAACAGACAUAAUCAAAAACAUUUCUAGCAAUUAAUGAAGUUGCUAAGGAGGCAAUUUUAAAUCAUCUAUAAUGGGUGGACAUCUAUGACAUGAGAAUAUAAUUCCAAGAAGGCUAACCUGAGCUAUCAGUUCAUUUGAUAUGAAUUGGGUACUACAACCAAAGACUGUGCUUGGGGCGGGGCUUAAAGUGCAAACAUCAGGUAUACUUCCUACCCUCAGGCAGUUCACAGACUACUGCUAGCCACAAACUCAAGCCACUAAUGGGAGCCAGGCAGCAAAGAGAAAGGAAUGAAAUCCUCCAACAGGCCCUCCUCUAAUAUUUGCUAACAUUUGCUGGCCUUGGAAAAAGUUAAAUGGAAAUCCAUUUACCAGAUGGAUUUAAAACAAGUUAACAAAUCGAAGUGGCUUCUAGUUGUCUACCUUGACACAUGUCCCUUUAUAAUGGCUCUUCUUCUCUUCCCGUGCCUGACUCCAUCACCCAAAGUAGGGAACUUUGUGCAGGUGGAUGGACAGACAUCCUGGCCACACAUUUAAGCUUCAGUCCCUCCCCUUCCCCAUCCCCAGCUUUCUCUUGGCCACUUCUCAGGCACGGGGUAUGUUCCCUAGUAUACGAUUUGCCCUUGGGAGAACUAACUGAGAAAUAAGUCUCUGCAGGCUCUGGAAACAGGCUUGGGUCACAUGGGCAGGGAAUUCCAAGGCCCAGCAGCAUGAUCUAGAAGAGGCAGUGCUGCAUCCAGGCUGCAUGGGGUCAAGGGCAGAGGCCCACUUUGCCUGAAUCUUAGGGAAGCACUAUCCCCUGGGAGGGUUGGGACUCUGGUGUGUGCUGGAGAAUAAAUGCCCCAAGUUACAACAACAGCGGCUACUCAGCUCCAUCCAUGUGGGGACAUGGAUUCGGAGGGCCACAUCUUCUACUUUAUUUUAUUUAUUUACUUUCUUUUUAUAGCCACACCUGCAGCAUAUGGAAGUUUCCAGGCUAGGGAGUGAGUGGGAAUUAGAGCUGCCUACCUAUGCCACAGCCACAGCAACGCCAGAUCCAAGCCGCAUCUUCGACCCAUACCACAGCUCACAGCAAUGCCAGAUACUGAACACACUGAAUGAGGCGAAGGAUGGAACCUACAUCCUCAUGGAAAAUAUAUAUCAGGUUCUUAACCUUGAGCCACAGCGGGAACUCCCACAUCUUCCACUUUUUAAAGAGAGGACACAAACCUGGGCUUUCUUAUGGAAUUGCAUCAUUUUUACAUGUAAGCAAGGAAUAACAAUAAUUUUAAAACCAAAGAAUCAUUCUGCUGGGCAAAUUGAAAAUAUCCGUGAACCACUGUGACCUCUAUGAAAGGAAAGAAAUUUAAAAUCCCAUUUACAUGUUGCUUGACCACUGUUUGGUUUUGAAAAUGAUAUUCACCAAUUCAUUAAUGUCACUUAAGCCCAUAAGUAAGUGAUACAUCUCCGUAGCUAUAUAUAUGUCUGAACUUCAUGCACUUUCUGUUCCGCAGCAGAAAUCUAAUUUACUUGGUACUCCUAGUACUGAUGUAUGUCCCCAUAAGCUAUCAGGAAAGACCUGGUUUUUGGAUCUGCACAUUUUUCUUCCUGGACGUUGACUUUCCUCAUGUCCUCCUCUGGCCUACCGUAAUAACCUGGGCACAUACCUCUCGCUGCAUUUCCCAUAUUGUGCUAUCUUUAGCUCUAUACAUGUUUGUCACUUCAAGAAUUAUCUCCAGGAGUUCCCGUCGUGGCGCAGCAGAAACGAAUCCGACUAGGAACCAUGAGGUUGCAGGUUCGAUCCCUGCCCUCACUCAGUGGGUUAAGGAUCUGGCGUUGCCGUGAGCUGUGGGGUAGGUUGCAGACGUGGCUCAGAUCCCACGUUGCUGUGGCUCUGGUGUAGGCUGGCAGCUGUAGCUCCAAUUCGACCCCUAGCCUGCAAACCUCCAUAUGCCAUGAGUGUGGCCCUAAAGAGCAAAAAAAAAAAAAAAAAAGAAUUAUCUCCAUGUUCCCAGGGCCCAUCACAGAGCCUGUCAUGUGGUGGAUGCCUAGCACCAUUUGUUUGUUCUAACUGACUUUGUCAGUGGUUGAUUCUCUGUGAUGACCCACAUCUCCCCAAUCACAAAAUAAUAAUAAUCAUAGGAGACAUUUCUUGGACACUUAAAUAUAGGUAGGUGCCAUGCCAGGAGCUUUAUGUAAAUUACCUCAUAUGAUUCUUUCAACUAACUGCUCAACACAUUUUUUAUCCCCACUUUCCAGGUGCAGAAACUGAGACUCAGGGACACAAAAAGCCCUGUGUGCGUUUUAUUCAGCUGGCAAAUGUCAGGGGUGGGACUUGAACCAAUCUUGCCUGAUUCCAAAGUACACCAUUACAUAACCAGUAAGCCAGACUUCCCUAAAAGGGUCACUCCCACUUCUUGAGAUGUUUUAGGUAGCACAGAGGAAUUCAUUUCAAUUACUAAGCAUUUGUUUGACUCAAUGUUUAUUUUAGUGUGUUUGAAAAGGCAAAUAAAUGACAACAUCUGUUUAUGG